rnacentral:rRNA from 1 species
AUUGAACGCUGGCGGCAGGCCUAACACAUGCAAGUCGAGCGAGCGGCGGACGGGUGAGUAAUGUAUGGGGAUCUGCCUGAUGGAGGGGGAUAACUACUGGAAACGGUAGCUAAUACCGCAUACUAUAGGAUGAGCCCAUAUGGUAUUAGCUAGUAGGUGGGGUAAAGGCUCACCUAGGCGACGAUCUCUAGCUGGUCUGAGAGGAUGAUCAGCCACACUGGGACUGAGACACGGCCCAGACUCCUACGGGAGGCAGCAGUGGGGAAUAUUGCACAAUGGGCGCAAGCCUGAUGCAGCCAUGCCGCGUGUAUGAAGAAGGCCUUAGGGUUGUAAAGUUCUUUCAGCGGGGAGGCGUUACCCGCAGAAGAAGCACCGGCUAACUCCGUGCCAGCAGCCGCGGUAAUAC